rnacentral:rRNA from 1 species
UGCAGUCGAACGAGAAAGGGGAGCAAUCCCUGAGUACAGUGGCGACCGGGUGAGUAACACGUGACUACCUGCCCUUGAGUGGGGGAUAACCUCGGGAAACCGAGGCUAAUACCGCAUAAUAUCGCAAGAUCAAAGGAGCAAUCCGCUUUUGGAGGGGGUCGCGGCUGAUUAGCUAGUUGGUGAGGUAACGGCUCACCAAGGCGAAGAUCGGUAGCCGGCCUGAGAGGGCGCACGGCCACACUGGAACUGAAACACGGUCCAGACUCCUACGGGAGGCAGCAGUGGGGAAUUUUGCGCAAUGGGGGAAACCCUGACGCAGCAACGCCGCGUGGAGGAUGAAGCCCCUUGGGGCGUAAACUCCUUUCGACCGGGACGAUGAUGACGGUACCGGUGGAAGAAGCACCGGCUAACUCUGUGCCAGCAGCCGCGGUAAUACAGAGGGUGCGAGCGUUGUUCGGAAUUAUUGGGCGUAAAGGGCGCGUAGGCGGUGCGGUAAGUCACCUGUGAAACCUCUGGGCUUAACUCAGAGCCUGCAGGCGAAACUGCCGUGCUGGAGGGUGGGAGAGGUGCGUGGAAUUCCCGGUGUAGGGGUGAAAUGCGUAGAUAUCGGGAGGAACACCUGCGGCGAAAGCGGCGCACUGGACCACUACUGACGCUGAGGCGCGAAAGCCGGGGGAGCAAACAGGAUUAGAUACCCUG